rnacentral:rRNA from 1 species
UACGUAGGGGGCAAGCGUUGUCCGGAAUUAUUGGGCGUAAAGAGCUCGUAGGCGGUUUGUCACGUCUGCUGUGAAAUCCCGAGGCUCAACCUCGGGCCUGCAGUGGGUACGGGCAGACUGGAGUGCGGUAGGGGAGAAUGGAAUUCCUGGUGUAGCGGUGGAAUGCGCAGAUAUCAGGGAGGAACACCGGUGGCGGAAGGCGGGUCUCUGGGCCGAUACUGACGCUGGAGGAGCGAAAGCGUGGGGAGCAAACAGG